rnacentral:lncRNA from 1 species
CCAUCUGAUUUAGGUCGAAAGUGCUGGAUUGCAAUCACAAAUCUUCUUUUAGAUGAAAGAGCAGCCCCAAGGAGCUCGGACCUCAGAUUUCUGACUCCAUGGCUCAUACCAAGCCAUCAUCACCCUGCUCCAUAGGUAAUUCGAUUGGAUGAGGAAUCUGACAGCAUAUCUGAUGAUCAAAAUCUCCCUCCUAACGAAAAGAGACUGAAUCCCAAGACCUCCAUCCUCCACAAACUGACAAACCAUCUCCCAAGACAACAAGUGGAGCCCAC